GUAAAAGCCUACCUGAGCGACGAUCCCUAGCUGGUCUGAUAGGAUGAUCAUCCACGUUGGGACUGAGACUCGGUCCCGACUCCUACUAAGAGGCACCAAUGGGGAAUAUUGGACAAUGGGCGCAAGCAUGAUCCAGCCAUGCCGCGUGAGUGAUGAAGGCCUUAGGGUUGUAAAGCUCUUUCCCCGGAGAAGAUAAUGACGGUAUCCGGAGAAGAAGCCCCGGCUAACUUCGUGCCACCAGCCGCGGUAAUACGAAUGGGGCUAGCGUUGUUCGGAAUUACUGGGCGUAAAGCGCACGUAGGCGGAUAUUUAAGUCAAGGGUGAAAUCCCAGAGCUCAACUCAGGAACUGCCUUUGAUACUGGGUAUCUUGAGUAUGGAAGAGGUAAGUGGAAUUCCCAGUGUAGAGGUGAAAUUCGUAGAUAUUCGGAGGAACACCAGUGGCGAAGGCGGCUUACUGGUCCAUUACUGACGCUGAGGUGCGAAAGCGUGGGGAGCAAACAGGAUUAUAUACCCUGGUAGUCCACGCCGUACACGAUGAAUGUUAGCCGUCGGGCACUAUACUGUUCGGUGGCGCAGCUAACGCAUUAAACAUUCCGCCUGGGGAGUACGGUCGCACCAUUAAAACUCUAAGGAAUUGACGGGGGCCCGCACAAUCGGUGUAGCAUGUGGUUUAAUUCGAAUCAACGCGCAAAACCUUACCACCUCUUGACAUUCGGGGUUUGGUCACUGCAGACAUUGUUCUUUCAUUAAGGCUGGCCCCCCAACAAGAUGCUGCAAGGACUGUCGUCCCCCCCCUGUCAUGAAAAGGUGGGGUUAAGUCCACCAACAAAAGCGAGCCCUCCCCCCUUAAUUGCCAGCAUUUAAUUUUGGCCCCCUAAAAGGGAACUGCCCCGUGAAAAAGCCCAAAAAAAAAAGGGGGGGGGGACGGUCAAAACCCUCCUGGCCCC
rnacentral:rRNA from 1 species